UAUUAUUUUGGGUGUCAAUUAUAUUUACCUGGGUAGUAUUAGUUAUGUUCUUGAAACCCAAAGAAUUUGGCGGUAUUCUUUACCUUUCAGAGGAAUCUGCCCCGUAAUCGAUAGUCCACGUUGGACCUUACUUAAUUCUUUUUUGUUUGUAUACCGCCGUUAUAAUGAGGAUCUUUUUAGUGUUUAUAAUCCUCUGGUUUUAUUAUUUUAAUUUAUUUCAGGUCAAGGUGCAAUUUAUUUUUAAGUGUGAGGUGGAUUACAUUAUUUUGUUGAAUUUUGGAUUACUGAUUGAGAUCUUGGGAUGAAAUUGGAUUUGAUUGUAAUCUGUUGGAGAUUGUGUUGAUGAUGGUGGUACUGGAAUAUGCACACAUCGCCCGUCGCUCUCAUUUGUUUGUUGAG
rnacentral:rRNA from 1 species